AAUAGAUACCCGGUAGUCCACGCCGUAAACGAUGAGUGCUAAGUGUUAGGGGGGGUUUCCACCCCUUAGUGCUGCAGCUAACGCAUUAAGCACUCCGCCUGGGGAGUACGGUCGCAAGACUGAAACUCAAAGGAAUUGACGGGGGGCCCGCACAAGCGGUGGAGCAUGUGGUUUAAUUCGAAGCAACGCGAAGAACCUUACCAGGUCUUGACAUCCCGCUGACCGCUAUGGAGACAUAGCCUUCCCUUCGGGGACAGCGGUGACAGGUGGUGCAUGGUUGUCGUCAGCUCGUGUCGUGAGAUGUUGGGUUAAGUCCCGCAACGAGCGCAACCCUUGUCCUUAGUUGCCAUCAUUCAGUUGGGCACUCUAAGGAGACUGCCGUACAAAUACGGAGGAAGGUGGGGAUGACGUCAAAUCAUCAUGCCCCUUAUGACCUGGGCUACACACGUGCUACAAUGGACGGUACAAACGGUCGCGAAGUCGCGAGACGGAGCCAAUCCGAAAAAACCGUUCUCAGUUCGGAUUGCAGGCUGC
rnacentral:rRNA from 1 species